rnacentral:rRNA from 1 species
CCUACGGGCGGCAGCAGUGAGGAAUAUUGGUCAAUGGACGAGAGUCUGAACCAGCCAAGUAGCGUGAAGGAUGACUGCCCUAUGGGUUGUAAACUUCUUUUAUAUGGGAAUAAAAUGUUCCACGUGUGGGAUUUUGUAUGUACCAUAUGAAUAAGGAUCGGCUAACUCCGUGCCAGCAGCCGCGGUAAUACGGAGGAUCCGAGCGUUAUCCGGAUUUAUUGGGUUUAAAGGGAGCGUAGGUGGAUUGUUAAGUCAGUUGUGAAAGUUUGCGGCUCAACCGUAAAAUUGCAGUUGAAACUGGCAGUCUUGAGUACAGUAGAGGUGGGCGGAAUUCGUCGUGUAGCGGUGAAAUGCUUAGAUAUCACGAAGAACUCCGAUUGCGAAGGCAGUUCACUGGACUGCAACUGACACUGAGGCUCGAAAGUGUGGGUAUCAAACAGGAUUAGAUACCCCUGUAGUC